rnacentral:rRNA from 1 species
AGAGCGAACGCUGGCGGCAGGCCUAACACAUGCAAGUCGAGCGGCCGUAGCAAUACGGCAGCGGCAGACGGGAGAGUAACACGUGGGAACGCGCCCUUCGGUUCGGAAUAACUCAGGGAAACUUGAGCUAAUACCGGAUACGCCCUUACGGGGAAAGAUUUAUUGCCGAAGGAACGGCCCGCGUCCGAUUAGCUAGUUGGUGAGGUAAUGGCUCACCAAGGCGACGAUCGGUAGCUGGUCUGAGAGGAUGACCAGCCUCACUGGGACUGAGACACGGCCCAGACUCCUACGGGAGGCAGCAGUGGGGAAUAUGGACAAUGGGCGCAAGCCUGAUCCAGCCAUGCCGCGUGGAUGAUGAAGGCCUUAGGGUUGUAAAGUCCUUUUAACGGGGAAGAUAAUGACGGUACCCGUAGAAUAAGCCCCGGCUAACUUCGUGCCAGCAGCCGC